GUCUCAAAGAUUAAGCCAUGCAUGUCUAAGUAUAAGCAAUCUAUACGGUGAAACUGCGAAUGGCUCAUUAAAUCAGUUAUCGUUUAUUUGAUAGUACCUUACUACUUGGAUAACCGUGGUAAUUCUAGAGCUAAUACAUGCUAAAAACCCCGACUUCGGAAGGGGGGUAUUUAUUAGAUAAAAAACCAAUGC
rnacentral:rRNA from 1 species